GACGAACGCUGGCGGUGUGCUUAACACAUGCAAGUCGAACGGUAAGGCCCUUUCGGGGGUACACGAGUGGCGAACGGGGGAGUAACACGUGAGUAACCUGCCCUCAUCUCUGGGAUAACAGUCGGAAACGGUUGCUAAUACUGGAUAUGAGCUUGCAAGGCAUCUUGUGGGAUGGAAAGAUUUUUUUUGGCUGGGGGUGGAAUCGGGGCGUAUCAGAUUGCUGGUGAGGUAGUGGCUCACCAAGGCUUCGACGGGGAGCCGGCCUGAGAGGGCGAACGGACAGAUUAGGACUGAGAGACGGCCCGAAGUCCGACGUGUUGCAGCAGGGGGGAAUAUUGGACAAAGGACGGAAGUCUGAUGCAGCAACGCCUCGUGCUGGAAGAGGGCUUUCGUGGUGAAAGCCGCUUAGAAUGGUGACGAAGCUUUGUUGUGACGGUAGCAGUAGAAGAAGCACCGGCUAACUACGUG
rnacentral:rRNA from 1 species